rnacentral:rRNA from 1 species
UGGCGGCGUGCCUAAUACAUGCAAGUCGAGCGCGGGAAGCGGACAAUCACCCUUCGGGGUGUGCGUCCGUGGAACGAGCGGCGGAUGGGUGAGUAUCACGUGGGCAACCUGCCUGUAAGAUUGGGAUAACUCGCGGAAACGUGAGCUAAUACCGAAUGAAGUCUUUCGCCGCCUGGUGAAAGGAUGAAAGAUGGCUCUUGAGCUAUCACUUACAGAUGGGCCCGCGGCGCAUUAGCUAGUUGGUGGGGUAAAGGCCUACCAAGGCGACGAUGCGUAGCCGGCCUGAGAGGGUGAUCGGCCACACUGGGACUGAGACACGGCCCAGACUCCUACGGGAGGCAGCAGUAGGGAAUCUUCCGCAAUGGACGAAAGUCUGACGGAGCAACGCCGCGUGAGUGAUGAAGGUCUUCGGAUCGUAAAACUCUGUUGUCAGGGAAGAACAAGUUGUGUUCUAACAGGACAUGACCUUGACGGUACCUGACCAGAAAGCCCCGGCUAACUACGUGCCAGCCGCAGC